UCCCAGUAAAAAUGGAAGGAGUCUUUUUCAUAUGUAGAUAAAGAUAGAUAUGGAAAAGACUCCUUCAGUUUUUUUACUGGGA